AACCUCCGCAAUGUGAGAAAUCGCGACGGGGGGAUCCCAAGUGCCAUUCUUAACGGGAUGGCUUUUCAUUAGUGUAAAGAGCUUUUGGAAUAAGGGCUGGGCAAGACCGGUGCCAGCCGCCGCGGUAACACCGGCAGCUCUAGUGGUAGCAGUUUUUAUUGGGCCUAAAGCGUCCGUAGCCGGUUUAAUAAGUCUCUGGUGAAAUCCUGUAGCUUAACUGUGGGAAUUGCUGGAGAUACUAUUAGACUUGAGACCGGGAGAGGUUAGAGGUACUCCCAGGGUAGAGGUGAAAUUCUGUAAUCCUGGGAGGACCGCCUGUUGCGAAGGCGUCUAACUGGAACGAUUCUGACGGUGAGGGACGAAAGUUAGGGGCGCGAACCGGAUUAGAUACCCGGGUAGUCCUAACCGUAAACGAUGCGGACUUGGUGUUGGGUGGCUUUGAGCUGUUCCAGUGCCGAAGGGAAGCUGUUAAGUCCGCCGCCUGGGAAGUACGGUCGCAAGACUGAAACUUAAAGGAAUU
rnacentral:rRNA from 1 species